AACGCACAUUGCGCCCCUUGGUAUUCCGAGGGGCAUGCCUGUUCGAGCGUCAUUAUGACCAUUCAAGCCUGGCUUGGUAUUGGGGUCCGCAAUCUAGCGGCCCUUAAAUUUAGUGGCGGUGCCCUCUGGCUCUAAGCGUAGUAAUUUUCUCGCUAUGGUGUCUAGGUGGUUGCUUGCCAAUAACCCCUUAUUUCUACGGUUUGACCUCGGAUCAGGUAGGGAUACCCGCUGAACUUAA
rnacentral:misc_RNA from 1 species